CAGGCCUAACACAUGCAAGUCGAACGAAGGCUUCGGCCUUAGUGGCGCACGGGUGCGUAACGCGUGGGAAUCUGCCCUGGGGUACGGAAUAACUCAGAGAAAUUUGAGCUAAUACCGUAUGAUGACGUAAGUCCAAAGAUUUAUCGCCCUGGGAUGAGCCCGCGUAGGAUUAGCUAGUUGGUGAGGUAAAGGCUCACCAAGGCGACGAUCCUUAGCUGGUCUGAGAGGAUGAUCAGCCACACUGGGACUGAGACACGGCCCAGACUCCUACGGGAGGCAGCAGUGGGGAAUAUUGGACAAUGGGCGAAAGCCUGAUCCAGCAAUGCCGCGUGAGUGAUGAAGGCCUUAGGGUUGUAAAGCUCUUUUACCCGGGAAGAUAAUGACUGUACCGGGAGAAUAAGCCCCGGCUAACUCCGUGCCAGCAGCCGCGGUAAU
rnacentral:rRNA from 1 species